AGUCCAUGGUGCGAAUAUUUCCGUAACAAAUCUCUAAACCUUUCCCACAAUUCAUACAAUGAUUCAACCUUUUGUUGCCUAAAACUUGUUAUGUCUAUUCUAAGUUU